rnacentral:rRNA from 1 species
CCUACGGGAGGCAGCAGUGGGGAAUUUUGCGCAAUGCUCGUAAGAGUGACGCAGCGACGCCGCGUGAAUGACGAAGGCCUUCGGGUCGUAAAGUUCUUUCGACAGGGAAGAAAAUGCCUAUAAGUAACUGUGUAUGUAUUGACGGUACCUGUAUAAGCAGCCCCGGCUAACUCCGUGCCAGCAGCCGCGGUAAUACGGAGGGGGCGAGCGUUGUUCGGAGUGACUGGGCGUAAAGAGCACGUAGGCGGUGUUGUAAGUCAUUAGUCAAAGACUAGAGCUCAACUUUAGUAAGGCUAGUGAUACUAUAAUACUAGAGUAUCAGAGAGGAUUGCAGAAUUCCUGGUGUAGCGGUGAAAUGCGUAGAUAUCAGGAGGAAUACCGUUAGCGAAGGCGGCAAUCUGGCUGGAAACUGACGCUGAGGUGCGAAAGCGUGGGUAGCAAACAGGAUUAGAUACCCCAGUAGUC